AGGAUAAUAGUUAAAUAUAACAUUUGAAUUGCAAUCAAAAAUUAUUAAUUUUAUUAAUUUAUCUU
rnacentral:tRNA from 1 species